ensembl:snRNA U6 U6 spliceosomal RNA
GUGCUCAUUUUGGCAGUACAUAUGCUAAAAUUGACAUGAUACAGAGAAGAUCAUCAUGGCCCCUGUGCAAGCAUGAACUUCUCUACCCAUUAAACAAUAACUCCCCUU